rnacentral:ncRNA from 1 species
UUAACGAUGUAGAAGAAGAGCAAGUACGUAUCAGAUCAUGAGGUUCAGAGAGUCGGUGGUUGCUGCGAACCGAUCCUCACCUGAUACCGAAUGGGCUUCUGAGUCGCUUCGCUGAACCAUGAGUAGGCGUCGCCGGGAUUCUCUCUCCGUUAUCAAGAGAGGAGUAUCGUAAGGAUUUUCACUUCUUACUGUACUUUAGAGUGAAUCGCUUGUUGCGAUUAAAAAAGGUGGUACCACGAUAACCUCGUCCUUUAC